rnacentral:lncRNA from 1 species
AAGUCUGUGCAGGUGAAGGUGUGUGAGAGCGCCCGAGAUGGCAGAACAAGAGCUACAGUGCAGGUAACUCACUCCGAAGUUUACCCGAGUGGAGCGGCGGCAUGCUUGCAGCUCGGCGGCAGCCUGUGAGAGCUGAGGGUCAGUUCUUCGAGUAGAUCUCAAGCUGCGUUUUCCUCCUUCUCCAAAGCAGGGAUGGGAAGGUGGAGGCUACUGGUUGAAGAGAAGAAAGGGGUUGGGGGAAUGCAACACCUGCAAACACUAGGGAUUGUGGGUCGAGCGGAAGAGCUAAUGAGAGCCGAGCUCAGGUAUCCCAAGUCAACCAGAAUCAAAUGCGCAGUACGCCACAAGGCAUUUAAUGCCCACAGUAACAGGGCUGUUUGACAGUGGCAGAAGAGGACGGGACUAAAGUUACUUUGUGCUGAGAGGGGGAAAGAAGCACAAAGUUUGGUCUGUUGCGUAAUUGAAUUUUUAACACUCUUAUCCACAACAAACACUUUUUCGUGUCCUGCUGUGUAAAAGACAUCAGAUAUAUUACAGAUUUUCAAACAGGCAGGCAUCAACAUUUACAUUGUAAUUCAAUAGACGCUACUACUACAAAGGAGCUUUAUUCUUCCAGCUUAAUAUGGUUGCUGCGGGAACACUGCAGGAUGAAACUGACUUUUUUUGUGGUAAUGUUUCUCCUGGUUGGGAACAACGCAAAUUAGCAAAGGCGUAAUUUAUAACCGCUGCUACCAAAGAGUGAAGUAUUUGUGGAAGUUCUGACUGGAAUCUAGCUCGUACAUAUGGAUUGUGGAAAUAAAGGAGGACGUGGAAAGCUUGCCAUAUUUUAUUUCAAGUUAAUACUAAAGCUGCCAGACUUAAUACAACUUUCUUUUAAUCUUUAUGGAUCACAUAUUUUCUGAAAAUUACAUGAUAAAACAAGG